rnacentral:rRNA from 1 species
UACGUAGGGUGCGAGCGUUGUCCGGAAUUAUUGGGCGUAAAGAGCUCGUAGGCGGUUUGUCGCGUCUGCUGUGAAAUCCCGAGGCUCAACCUCGGGUCUGCAGUGGGUACGGGCAGACUGGAGUGCGGUAGGGGAGAAUGGAAUUCCUGGUGUAGCGGUGGAAUGCGCAGAUAUCAGGAGGAACACCAGUGGCGAAGGCGACACGCUGGGCCGUACCUGACACUGAGGCGCGAUAGCAUGGGGAGCAAACAGG